rnacentral:rRNA from 1 species
GGGGGAUAUUGCACAAUGGACGGAAGUCUGAUGCAGCGACGCCGCGUGAGGGAAGAAGGUCUUCGGAUUGUAAACCUCUGUCCUCUGGGACGAACGGGCGACUUUAGUCGCUUCUUGACGGUACCUUAUUAGAAAGCCACGGCUAACUACGUGCCAGCAGCCGCGGUAAUACGUAGGUGGCAAGCGUUGUCCGGAAUUAUUGGGCGUAAAGCGCGCGCAGGUGGUUUCUUAAGUCUGAUGUGAAAGCCCACGGCUUAACCGUGGAGGGUCAUUGGAAACUGGGAGACUUGAGUGCAGAAGAGGAAAGUGGAAUUCCAAGUGUAGCGGUGAAAUGCGUAGAGAUUUGGAGGAACACCAGUGGCGAAGGCGACUUUCUGGUCUGCAACUGACGCUGAGGCGCGAAAGCAUGGGGAGCAAACA